rnacentral:tRNA from 1 species
GGACCAUUAGCUCAGUUGGUAGAGCGCUCGCUUGAUAAGCGAGAGGUUCACUGGUUCAAGUCCAGUAUGGUCCA